GAAAAAAACUCGCACCUGAAAAAAAUCUACGAAAAUUAACCUACGCCCCGACCGCCGCCCGCGGGUCGCCCGCUCCCUCGCGCCCCUGUUGCUCCCUCCUCGAUCCCGAUCUGGAUCGAGGGGACGAGGAGCUCCUGCCUCCCCGAGACCCCGACGGCCGGCCUCCUCCUCGCCCCGCCGCUGCGUCCGGCGCCGCCACGGCCUCUGGAGCCAGGGAAGCCAUGGCCUGAGCUCGGCCUCGAGGUCCCCGCCGCCGUCUCCUGCAGCUUCUGCCCCGCCGCCUCACCGCCCGAGCUCGCCGUCGCGCCGCCGCCGGCUCUGGUCGCCUCCACCUCCGCUCCAGGCAACCCUCGGUCGCCGGCUCGCUGGAGCACGACGGCAGACGAUGGAUGCCUGGUUGUGUGCGACGGAUGCAGUUCUCACGCGCAAACUAGGGUUGGAGCCGCCAGCUCUUCAUCCUGCCCGCCGGCGGCGAGUCUUCCCGUCCCGUACUGCCGCCUCCCCGUUAUCACAGAAGUUGGUGGCAUGGUGAAGCCCCUGAGCAAAAGUUGCAGGAGUCUUUGAAGGAGUUGGAGAAGUCUUAAACCUAAGUCCGAAUCCAAUUUCGUGGGAACAAGCAUAUAUUCCAUGAAUUUUCCAUUAGAUUCAGUGGACAGGUAAUGUCCUCAACGACACUUGCACACCCUAAACCCUAAAAGAAACAACUAGAUGCCUUGGGUAAUUUUGGCUGCAUCCGUCUUGGUUAGUUGGUUUACAUGUGAAUUCACACGUUUAAAGGGCAUGUGACCAUUAACUUUAUAAGUAUUUAUCCACGUUCUAAAGGAAUUAAAUAGGAUGCAGUAGUGCAGACAUUCAAAGGAGGUGGGAAGUGUGCAUAUGCUUUAUGUUAGUUAUAUGCACAGGGCAGCCUAUCAAUAUAGAGGUGUCAUUCAGACAGAGCUCUUUGAAUAUAAUAAGACAAAAGAUCGGGUUCCUGAUUUUUUUAUAAGAAGAUUCUUCUAUAUGUUCAGUUACAUGAUUUUUAAUUUGAUCAUCUUCUUUGAACAAUUUUUGUGCUGACUAUGAUAUUUCUUUUGAUUUGUAGGUUCAUCUGGUCCUUUACUCCUCACAUAAUAACUGUGAAACUUAAUGAGGAACUUCUGAAAAAUGCUCCCUCCCCUCUGAUGUCUAUUUGGUUACUUAUGCUUGUGUGGUCUGGUUGUUCCUAAGUGCUUUCGGACAUUAUUAUUUGUGUGAUCAGCAUUGAGUAGAUUGCCUGCAGCAAGAUAACUUGAGUUUUUUUUACUUAAGUAAACGAUAUGUAAAUAGCUCUAAGUUAACUGGACAUUUUGUCGCAUUGGCUUGAAUCUGCAUGUUGCAUCAUUUGUGCACAAUGAAAACUGUAUGAACCUGCAUUGGAUGGUGUAUUUGUAGGAAGGUUAUCCUUUCUUCAAGGACUGGAAGUUUCCUGGUAAGUGUUCCUUUUUCUUAAAAACUCUGUGUUUGUUCGCUGUAAUAUUUUGUUUACAUCAGGUUUCUCUUUCCUUUUGUGGGCAUAAUGGGCGAGACAAUAAUAUUCAGAAAGUUGUUGUUUUAGGGAAACUGCUAACUCCAUAUGUCAGACCCAUAUCAUUGUUGAGCAUGCAUAGUGUUCCUAUGUCAUUUCUAUGAUGUAUUUGUUUCCUUUUAUAUCACAGUAGUCUUCAUUUUGGCCAUGUACCUUCAAACUGAACCAAAAAUGGUUUGUCUGAUGACAUGUUUGAGGAGAUUCUUGAUAUGAAACAGUAGAUAUGAGGGUGACCGUUUUUUUUGCAAGUUUUGUCCGUGGAAUCUUUUUGCAGUUGAUAAGACAUGGGCUGGACUUACUUCCGAUCUGCAAUAUUUUCGGUAAAGUGAUUCAAGGAAACAAACAUCCACUGUGUCAAUCACUCAAGAUGGUGCAUGCAGUUUUCCUGAAAGUUAAGUCUGAGAGCCUGCUCCUACAUAAAGCUGGGUGACGGGACGACGGCCAAUUUCUGGGAGGACAAAUGGUUGCCGGGUGGGCGUUCCGUCUAAGACCUGGCACCAACACUGCUCACUUUUGUGCCCAAGAGCACAACUAGUCAUCUAGGGUUUGGAUGGGGCUGGGUUCCUACAACGACGGCAACAGAGGCGACAAACACCACUUUGCAACCUCGCCGAACUGUGUUGCUGAACUGAAGUGUAGGGACAGCAGCAGUUUUACCACCGAUGGUGUUGCAUGUAAGCUGGAUGUUCUCAUUGUUCUGUUGGCUCUGAUCGGUGUGUAUGCUAUGAAGUUAAGGUUCUUAAGAUUAAUGAUGUUUAUAGAAGUGAUGCAGGAUGUGAGGUACAACUAUCAAAGUGACAUUAAUUUUGGUUGUGAUUCCUAUCCGCAGCCUCUUCUACACUAGUAGUGUUGCUUCUCUAUUCCAAAGGCACAUGGAAGUUUAUCUUCAGAGAAGGAAAACACUCGACGAUCUGGCUCUGUCUCAGGUAUAUGCUCCCUCGCCCGCAAGAUCCUCUCUCUCCCAUCUACGCAUCGCAACAGCACUUCAGCUCCUCUUGUGGAUUCUCACCAGAUCAGGCCACCUCACUCACCUUCAGGUUUGUAAACAGUCAUCCAUACCAUAGCAAGUUCAUGCAUCAACCUUAGGGUCCAUCGGUGAAACAAAGCCAAUCAUAUGAAUUGAAGGAGCUACUGAAAUAAAGUGGAAAGAACAAAGAGAAAAUUGAAGAUUAUCUAUAUGAACAUUCCGAGAAUGGGAUAGGAGAGGUGGUUCUUCCCAACAGGAAAAAGAGUGGAGCGUCUGUCGUGAUGGACAAAGUUAAGAUCCCAACAAAAAGUGCUUCUUGAUGCUAUGAUGCAGCAACUUAACCUUCCAAAUUACAGUUUACUAAACAGACCUCGCCGGCAGAUCCCUCAGCUAUCAGGGAAGGCAGUCAUCAGCGGAGAUUGAGGGCGCCUCUCCGGCGAGAGUGCUCAUGUCGUGGUGGUUUUCCACCAGCAGCGUGGGGGAGGCGGUGUCCUCUGCAGCUAGGUCUACUUACUGGCGACCUCACCAUCACCAGCCCACCUGCAGGGUCUCAAAAGGUCUGCUGUUCCUGGAUGGUGCGUGUGAUAGCUGCAUAUGAGGAUGUACGAAGGAUUUGGCUGCGAACUCAAUCAGACCAUUGGAUUGAAGCUGAAGGGGGCAUUGCAAAGAUACGAAGGAAUGGCCUUUCGUUCAUAACCUGGUCAGCUACACAACAUCUGGUCGUACAUGUUUCUGUUGCAGCGGCCCAGUUACGUGGAGAAGAAUGGCAUACGCUGAGGAUUGUGUCAGCUGAUUUUCUAACUCAUGUUUAGCUCAUGGAUUCUCAUUUAUCUCUUCAAUUUACACAAGGAGGUGCAUUAUCAGCUCUUAUGUAUUUUCUUAAUAACCGUUGAUAGGAAUGACAACUAUGUUGAGAUGUGGUAGACCAUUGAAUGACUUUUGGUCCAGAAUGAAAAAUAGAGGCAUAAUUAUUGUAAUUUUGUUGCUGCUAAUUUCUUUCAAACGAA